UCUUCCCUCUUUCUUCGUGCCUAAUACAUGCAAGUCGAGCGAACAGACGAGGAGCUUGCUCCUCUGACUUUAGCGGCGGACGGGUGAGUAACACGGGGUUAACCUACCUAUAAGACUGGCAUAACUUCGGGAAACCGGAGCUAAUACCGGAUAAUAUAUUGAACCUCAUGGUUCAAUAGUGAAAUACGGUUUUGCUGUCACUUAUAGAUUGAUCCGCGCCGCAUUAGCUAGUUGGUAAGGUAACGGCUUACCAAGGCAACGAUGCGUAGCCGACCUGAGAGGGGGAUCGGCCACACGGGAACUGAGACACGGCCCAGACUCCUACGGGAGGCAGCAGUAGGGAAUCUUCCGCAAUGGGCGAAAGCCUGACGGAGCAACGCCGCGUGAGUGAUGAAGGUCUUAGGCUCGUAAAACUCUGUUAUUAGGGAAGAACAAAUGUGUAAGUAACUAUGCACGUAAUGACGGUACCUAAUCAGAAAGCCACGGCUAACUACGUG
rnacentral:rRNA from 1 species